GAUGAAGAACGUAGCGAAAUGCGAUACUUGGUGUGAAUUGCAGAAUCCCGUGAACCAUCGAGCCUUUGAACGCAAGUUGCGCCUCAAGCCAUUAGGUUGAGGGCACGUCUGCCUGGGCGUCACAUAUCGUUGCCUGAUGCCAGUUUCCUCGUGAUGGGUGACUGUGCAGGGCGAAUGAUGGCUUCCCGUGAGCAUUGUUGCCUCAUGGUUGGUUGAAAAUUGAGUCCUUGGUAGGGAGCGCCGUGAUAGAUGGUGGUUGAGUGACGAACGAGACCCAAUCAUGUGAGACCCCUACCGAAUUUGGCCUUCAUGACCCACAUGCGUCUUUGGAACGCUCAUGACGAGACCUCAGGUCAGGCGGGGCUACCCGCUGAGUUUAAGCAUAUCAAUAAGCGGAGGA
rnacentral:misc_RNA from 1 species